rnacentral:rRNA from 1 species
UACGUAGGGUGCGAGCGUUGUCCGGAAUUAUUGGGCGUAAAGAGCUUGUAGGUGGUUUGUCGCGUCUGCUGUGAAAAUCCGAGGCUCAACCUCGGACUUGCAGUGGGUACGGGCAGACUAGAGUGUGGUAGGGGAGACUGGGAAUUCCUGGUGUAGCGGUGGAAUGCGCAGAUAGUCAGGAGGAACACCGGGUGGCGAAGGCGGUUCUCUGGGCCUGUACUGACGCUGGAGGAGCGAAAAGCGUGGGGGAGCGAACAGG